rnacentral:rRNA from 1 species
GACGAACGCUGGCGGCGUGCUUAACACAUGCAAGUCGAACGAGAAUCUGUGGAAAGAGGAUUCGUCCAAUUGAAGCAGAGGACAGUGGCGGACGGGUGAGUAACGCGUGAGGAACCUGCCUUUCAGAGGGGGACAACAGUUGGAAACGACUGCUAAUACCGCAUGACACAUAGGUGUCGCAUGGCACUUAUGUCAAAGAUUUAUCGCUGAAAGAUGGCCUCGCGUCUGAUUAGCUAGUUGGUGAGGUAACGGCCCACCAAGGCGACGAUCAGGAGCCGGACUGGGAGGUGGAACGGCCACAUUGGGACUGAGAUACGGCACAGACUCCUACGGGAGGCAGCAGUGGGGAAUAUUGGGCAAUGGGCGCAAGCCUGACCCAGCAACGCCGCGUGAAGGAAGAAGGCUUUCGGGUUGUAAACUUCUUUUGUCAGGGACGAGUAGAAGACGGUACCUGACGAAUAAGCCACGGCUAACUACGUGCCAGCAGCGCCGUAA